rnacentral:lncRNA from 1 species
GAUCAUUUACUUGUGUGUUUUCUUGUUUUCAUUUACUUACUUGUUUUUUUUUUAAUUGCAUGAUUUUUCAUUGGUUUUUUGGGUUGCAAGUGUUGUGUGAGUAAUUUCUCUCUUUUAUUGAUUAAAGACUUAUGGUGUUAUGUGAUUGAUUUGCUUGCAUUCUUAGUAUGUUAAGUGGGACUAAAUUUUGAAUUGUGUGUCAUUUGUAGUUGAUCAAUACCCUUUUGUGAGAUUUUGAGCCGAAUAAUGGAUAAUAUUAAAAAAUC